rnacentral:rRNA from 1 species
GACGUAGGAUGCAAGCGUUGUCCGGAUUUAUUGGGCGUAAAGAGUUCGUAGGCGGUUUACUAAGUCUGAUGUUAAAGAUCGGGGCUCAACCCUGAGAGUGCAUUGGAUACUGGUAGGCUUGAGUGUGGUAGAGGCUAGUGGAAUUCCCAGUGUAGCGGUGAAAUGCGUAGAUAUUGGGAAGAACACCAGUGGCGUAGGCGACUAGCUGGGCCAUAACUGACGCUGAGGAACGAAAGCCAGGGGAGCGAAUGGG